rnacentral:rRNA from 1 species
CGUGAGUGAUGAAGGCUUUCGGGUCGUAAAGCUCUGUCAAGUGGGAAGAACCUAUAUAAUGUUAAUACCAUUAUAUAUUGACGGUACCACUGAAGGAAGCACCGGCUAACUCCGUGCCAGCAGCCGCGGUAAUACGGGGGGUGCAAGCGUUAUUCGGAAUCAUUGGGCGUAAAGAGCACGUAGGCGGCCUGGUAAGUCAGAUGUGAAAGCCCGGGGCUUAACCUCGGAAGUGCAUCUGAUACUGCCAGGCUUGAGUAUGGGAGAGGGAAGUGGAAUUCCUGGUGUAGAGGUGAAAUUCGUAGAUAUCAGGAGGAACACCGGUGGCGAAGGCGACUUCCUGGACCAAUACUGACGCUGAGGUGCGAAGGCGUGGGUAGCAAACAGGAUUAGAUACCCUGGUAGUCCACGCAGUAAACGUUGAUCACUAGGUGUAGCGGGUAUUGACCCCUGCUGUGCCGCAGUUAACGCAUUAA